GGAAUAUUGGUCAAUGGACGGAAGUCUGAACCAGCCAUGCCGCGUGGAGGAAGAAGGUCCUAUGGGUUGUAAACUCCUUUUGCUCCAGAGUAAUAAGAGCCUUGCGAGGUUCGAUGAGAGUAUGGGGCGAAUAAGCAUCGGCUAACUCCGUGCCAGCAGCCGCGGUAAUACGGAGGAUGCGAGCGUUAUCCGGAUUUAUUGGGUUUAAAGGGUGCGCAGGCGGCGCGUUAAGUCAGCGGUGAAAUGUCCCGGCUCAACCGGGGAGCUGCCGUUGAUACUGGCGUGCUAGAGUACGGACGGCGCCGGCGGAAUGUGUCAUGUAGCGGUGAAAUGCUUAGAUAUGCCACAGAACACCGAUCGCGAAGGCAGCUGGCGAGGCCGGUACUGACGCUCAGGCACGAAAGCGUGGGGAUCAAACA
rnacentral:rRNA from 1 species